rnacentral:rRNA from 1 species
AACGAACGCUGGCGGCAUGCCUAACACAUGCAAGUCGAACGAGACCUUCGGGUCUCGUGGCGCACGGGUGCGUAACGCGUGGGAACCUGCCCUUAGGUUCGGAAUAAAUCCCCGAAAGGGGUGCUAAUACCGGCUAAUGUCUUCGGACCAAAGAUUUAUCGCCAUUGGAUGGGCGCGCGUUGGUUUAGCUCGUUGGUAGGGUAAAAGCCUACCACGGCGCCGUUCCAUAGCUGGUCUGAGAGGAUGAUCAGCCACACUGGGAGUGAGACACGGCCCAGACCCAUACGAGACGGAGGAGUGGGGAAUACUGGAAAGUGGGAGAGAGUCUGGGAGAGCUAUGGCGUGGGAGUGAUGAAGGCCUGAGGGGUGUAAAGCUCUUUUAGCCGGGAAGAUAAUGACGGUACCGGGAGAAUAAGCACCGGCUAACUCCGUG